rnacentral:piRNA from 1 species
UGCCUGGUGUUUGGGUUUGUGCAUGCU